rnacentral:lncRNA from 1 species
AAGCUCCCUUUCAAUUUUUAUAAAUUUCAGAUUUUCAGUUUUGGAUUUAUGGGGCUUUAUUCAUAAAAAAAAGGGGAUUUUCAACACUUCGGACAAUAACUCAAAAAGGCUUUCACCAAUGUCCAUGAAACUUUGGUGAAUUGUUUAUAUCUAUUGAUGUAAGCUCCCUUUCAAUUUUAUAAAUUUCAGAUUUUAAGUUUUGAAUUUAUGGGGCUUUAUUCAUAAAAAAAAGGGGGAUUUUCAACACUUCGGACAAUAACUCAAAAAGGCUUUCACCAAUGUCCAUGAAACUUUGGUGAAUUGUUUAUAUCUAUUGAUGUAAGCUCCCUUUCAAUUUUUAUAAAUUUCAGAUUUUAAGUUUUGGAUUUAUGGGGCUUUAUUCAUAAAAAAAAGGGGGAUUUUCAACACUUCGGACAAUAACUCAAAAAGGCUUUCACCAAUGUCCAUGAAACUUUGGUGAAUUGUUUAUAUCUAAUGAUGUAAGCUCCCUUUCAAUUUUUAUAUAAAUUUCAGAUUUUCAGUUUUGGAAUUUAUGGGGCUUUAUUCAUAAAAAAAAGGGAUUUUCAACACUUCGGAC